rnacentral:rRNA from 1 species
UACGUAGGGCGCGAGCGUUGUCCGGAAUUAUUGGGCGUAAAGAGCUCGUAGGCGGCUUGUCACGUUGGGUGUGAAAGACCGGGGCUUAACUCCGGUUCUGCAUUCGAUACGGGCUAGCUAGAGUGUGGUAGGGGAGAUCGGAAUUCCUGGUGUAGCGGUGAAAUGCGCAGAUAUCAGGAAGAACACCGGUGGCGAAGGCGGGUCUCUGGGCAGUAACUGACGCUGAGGAGCGAAAGCGUGGGGAGCGAACAGG